rnacentral:rRNA from 1 species
AACGAACGCUGGCGGCAUGCCUAACACAUGCCAGUCGAACGAGACCUUCGGGUCUAGUGGCGCACGGGUGCGUAACGCGUGGGAACCUGCCCUUAGGUUCGGAAUAACUCCCCGAAAGGGGUGCUAAUACCGGAUAAUGUCUUCGGACCAAAGAUUUAUCGCCUUUGGAUGGGCCCGCGUUGGAUUAGCUAGUUGGUAGGGUAAAAGCCUACCAAGGCGACGAUCCAUAGCUGGUCUGAGAGGAUGAUCAGCCACACUGGGACUGAGACACGGCCCAGACUCCUACGGGAGGCAGCAGUGGGGAAUAUUGGACAAUGGGCGAAAGCCUGAUCCAGCAAUGCCGCGUGAGUGAUGAAGGCAUUAGGGUUGUAAAGCUCUUUUAACCGGGAUGAUAAUGACAGUACCGGGAGAAUAAGCUCCGGCUAACUCCGUG